rnacentral:rRNA from 1 species
AUUGAACGCUGGCGGCGUGCUUAACACAUGCAAGUCGAGCGGUAACAGGCGUAGCAAUACGUGCUGACGAGCGGCGAACGGGUGAGUAAUGCUUCGGAAUCUGCCUAGUAGUGGGGAAUAACCAGUCGAAAGACUGGCUAAUGCCGCAUACGACCCUUUUUCGUAUUGGAAUUGGGUGAAAGCGGGGGCUCGUAAGACCUCGCGCUAAUAGAUGAGCCGAAGUCGGAUAGCUAGUUGGUGAGGUAACGGCUCACCAAGGCGACAAUCCGUAGCUGGUCUGAGAGGACGACCAGCCACACUGGGACUGAGACACGGCCCAGACUCCUACGGAGGCAGCAGUGGGGAAUAUUGGACAAUGGGGCAACCCUGAUCCAGCGACGCCGCGUG